rnacentral:rRNA from 1 species
UACGUAGGGGGCUAGCGCUGUCCGGAAUCAUUGGGCGUAAAGCGCGCGUAGGCGGCCCGGUAAGUCCGCUGUGAAAGUCAAAGGCUCAACCUUUGAAUGUCAGCGGAUACUGCCGGGCUAGAGUCCGGAAGAGGCGAGUGGAACUCCUGGUGUAGCGGUGGAAUGCGCAGAUAUCAGGAAGAACACCAACGGCGAAGGCAGCUCGCUGGGACGGAACUGACGCUAAGGCGCGAAAGCGUGGGGAGCGAACAGG